rnacentral:tRNA from 1 species
GCUCACUUGGUGAAAUAGGUAAACACUAUAUACUUCAAAUCUGUUCCCUUUUUGGGUUAUCGGUUCAAGUCCGAUAGUGAGCA